UCUUAUGUACAUGCCUGCAACAUAACAUGAAUGCACUGGAUCCCAUAAGAACUCUGCAGUUACACAUGCUUGGGCUAGAGUAGUAAUGGGAUGGGUGACCACCCAAAAAGUACUAGUGUUUACAUGGC
rnacentral:rRNA from 1 species